GUCAAAUCAUCAUGCCCCUUAUGUCCUGGGCUACACACGUGCUACAAUGGCCGUCACAGAGCGAACCGAACCCGCGAGGGUGAGCAAAUCCCUUAAAGCCGGUCCCAGUUCGGAUUGAAGUCUGCAACUCGACUUCAUGAAGCCGGAGUCGCUAGUAAUCGCGGAUCAGCAAAGCCGCGGUGAAUACGUUCUCGGGGAUU
rnacentral:rRNA from 1 species